UUUCUUCAUAGUCUCAUCUUGUCGAGUCAAGACUCACCACUAUAUAUGUGUCUUGGCUUGAUCAUUGACAAAAAUGAGAAAUAAGCCUAGCAUAUUUCUUAGUACAAAGAUCUAGUGCUAUUUUUUCUUGUCGUUGAAGCUCUAAAGCAUGAGGAUUAUAUAUGGAGACAGAAACUGAAAAUGAACGGGUACUUCAUAAAUACAUGAAUUACAUUUGCACCGCCCAAACCUUGACAACAGAUGGAUGCAAACUAAUCCUGCAAAUUAUAUCUAUAUUUCUGCUUGACACUCUGCUGCGAAUCCGAAAACCUCUGAAUCUCAUGUCCCAAUCCCACUAAAGAUGGGGAGCUGAUCCAUUUUUACCUCAGGGCAAAAGAUGGUGUGUCUAUUUCAACAGCCCUGUGGUCAUUAAGCUUUGCUGCAGAUAUAUACAAAGUUAGGAAACAGUAGUUACUUGACUUUGCAAAAGGCAUUCUGCACCGAGCUAUAUAGAAGCAAGUUCAUUACAUUUUCAGUUACUUGAACUCUUAAGACUACAUCUUGUUCUUGUGAAGACUGUGAGUACACCAUUGCUCUGUUUUUUUUCUUUUUCCAGCCGGUUCUCUGUUUCCAUUCAUGUUGUUUUACCUUGAGUCAUGUUCAACAUUAUGACACAUCCAUUUUAAAAAUUCA